GGCCUCGUCGUCUAGUGGUCCAGGACAUCGCCUUCUCAGGGCGAAGAUCGCGGGUUCGAAUCCCGCCGAGGCUGCCA
rnacentral:tRNA from 1 species